CAGAAAGGGAAAAGAGAAGAGAAACCAAGCGCCGGUAUUCUCUUUCUAUCUUUCUGUCUCUCUCUGUGUUUGUAUCCGUCUCUUUCUUUCUUUCUCCCUCCUUCCUCUCUCUCUCUCUCUCU
rnacentral:ribozyme from 11 species